GUUCAGAUUGCAGGCUGCAACCCGCCUGCAUGAAGUCGGAAUUGCUAGUAAUCGCGGAUCAGCAUGCCGCGGUGAAUACGUUCCCGGGCCUUGUACACACCGCCCGUCACACCAUGGGAGCCGGUAAUACCCGAAGUCAGUAGUCCAACCUCGUGAGGACGCUGCCGAAGGCAGGAUUGGCGACUGGGGUGAAGUCGUAACAAGGUAAC
rnacentral:rRNA from 1 species